CCUACGGGUGGCAGCAGUCGAGAAUCAUUCACAAUGGGGGAAACCCUGAUGGUGCGAAGCCGCGUGGGGGAAUGAAGGUCUUCGGAUUGUAAACCCCUGUUAUGUGGGAGCAAAUUAAAAAGCUAGUACCACAAGAGGAAGAGACGGCUAACUCUGUGCCAGCAGCCGCGGUAAUACAGAGGUCUCAAGCGUUGUUCGGAAUCACUGGGCGUGAAGCGUGCGUAGGCUGUUUCGUAAGUCGUGUGUGAAAGGCGCGGGCUCAACCCGCGGAGGGCACAUGAUACUGCGGGACUAGAGUAAUGGAGGGGGAAGCGGAAUGCGCGGUGUAGCAGUGAAAUGCGUAGAUAUCGAGAAGAACAC
rnacentral:rRNA from 1 species